rnacentral:rRNA from 1 species
CAAUAGCGUAUAUUAAAGUUGUUGCAGUUAAAAAGCUCGUAGUUGGAUUUCGGGGAAGCCUGGCUGGUCCGCCGCAAGGCGAGUACUGGUCAGCCGCCCUUCCUCUCGAAAGCCCCGACUGCUCUUCGUUGCAGUGGUCGGGUAGUUCGGGACGUUUACUUUGAAAAAAUUAGAGUGUUCAAGGCAGGCCUACGCCUGAAUACAUUAGCAUGGAAUAAUGGAAGAGGACCUCGGUCCUAUUUUGUUGGUUUCCAGGGCCGAAGUAAUGAUUAAGAGGGACAGUUGGGGGCAUUCGUAUUUAAUUGUCAGAGGUGAAAUUCUCGGAUUUAUGAAAGACGAACAACUGCGAAAGCAUUUGCCAAGGAUGUUUUCAUUAA